rnacentral:rRNA from 1 species
UACAGAGGGUGCGAGCGUUAACCGGAAUUACUGGGCGUAAAGCGUGCGUAGACGGUUAUGUAAGUUAGGUGUGAAAGCCCCGGGCUCAACCUGGGAAUUGCAUUUAAGACUGCAUAGCUAGGGUGCGGAAGAGGGAAGCGGAAUUUCCGGUGUAGCGGUGAAAUGCGUAGAUAUCGGAAGGAACAUCAGUGGCGAAAGCGGCUUCCUGGUCCAGCACCGACGUUCAGGCACGAAAGCGUGGGGAGCAAACAGG